AUUGAACGCUGGCGGAAUGCUUUACACAUGCAAGUCGAACGGCAGCACGGGGCAACCUGGUGGCGAGUGGCGAACGGGUGAGUAAUACAUCGGAACGUGCCCAAUCGUGGGGGAUAACGUAGCGAAAGUUACGCUAAUACCGCAUACGAUCUACGGAUGAAAGCGGGGGAUCGCAAGACCUCGCGCGAAUGGAGCGGCCGAUGUCAGAUUAGGUAGUUGGUGGGGUAAAGGCUCACCAAGCCAACGAUCUGUAGCUGGUCUGAGAGGACGACCAGCCACACUGGGACUGAGACACGGCCCAGACGCCUACGGGAGGCAGCAGUGGGGAAGUUUGGACAAUGGGCGCAAGCCUGAUCCAGCCAUUCCGCGUGCAGGAUGAAGGCCUUCGGGUUGUAAACUGCUUUUGUACGGAACGAAACGGUUCUCUCUAAUACAGGGGGCUAAUGACGGUACCGUAAGAAUAAGCACCGGCUAACUACGUGCCAGCCGCCGCAGUAAGAC
rnacentral:rRNA from 1 species